rnacentral:rRNA from 1 species
GAUGAACGCUGGCGGCGUGCCUAAUACAUGCAAGUCGAGCGAACAGACGAGGAGCUUGCUCCUUUGACGUUAGCGGCGGACGGGUGAGUAACACGUAGGUAACCUACCUAUAAGACUGGGAUAACUUCGGGAAACCGGAGCUAAUACCGGAUAAUAUUUCGAACCGCAUGGUUCGAUAGUGAAAGAUGGCUUUGCUAUCACUUAUAGAUGGACCUGCGCCGUAUUAGCUAGUUGGUAAGGUAACGGCUUACCAAGGCAACGAUACGUAGCCGACCUGAGAGGGUGAUCGGCCACACUGGAACUGAGACACGGUCCAGUCUCCUACGGGAGGCAGCAGUAGGGAAUCUUCCGCAAUGGGCGAAAGCCUGACGGAGCAACGCCGCGUGAGUGAUGAAGGUCUUCGGAUCGUAAAACUCUGUUAUUAGGGAAGAACAAACGUGUAAGUAACUGUGCACGUCUUGACGGUACCUAAUCAGAAAGCCACGGCUAACUACGUG